UAUUGGGCCAGGCCUAGCUGUUGUGCGAGGAGUAAUGGGCCAGGCCUGGCGCAGACGUUCGGUCCCUCAAUAGGCGGAGAAAGGAAUUGGGGUCGGUCGUCGCUGUCGCUUUGUUGCCCCUGCUCCUGUGCUCCGCGGCUCGUUCUGGGCGUAUCAAUGGUGCUACACAGCUAGCUUAGGGCAGUGGCAAGUGGGGCAGCUGCCGACCUGCCGCCGGUGACUGAGCGGCGGACGGACGGAGAUAGCAGCUGGAGACACCCGAUUUGGCGAGCGGCGACCUCGUCCAGCAGCGCUCAGCGGCCACCGGCCCCAGUCCAUCCCCACUCCCAACUCCCAAGUAAGCGAAGGCGAGUUAGGAGCUAGUAGCGGUGGCCAUCUGCUGUCACAGUCCACAUCUCUUCUCUACGGUACAAACGCACAAAUGAGCUCCGCUCAGUAGGCAGAUGAAGGGAGGUGUUGAGAUUUUCGAACCCUUUCUGCUUCUCCCGUGGUGGUGUUGUUCCUUCUGCUUCAGUAGCAUGAUUAUGGUGUGGAAGAGGGCUCACUCGCUAUAUGAAUGGCGGAUGAAGGGAGGGAAUGAGAUUUUGGAGCCUGGAUGCGUGCCCUAGCGACCGAUUGAACAACUUGAGCAAGCGCAGAUUAAAAUAAUAGAAACUGGUAUGUUAUUAUAUGUUUGAAUUUUCACUUGUAGGUAUAUGAUACCAUAUGCAUUGUGUUUC